GUAGGACUGUAUCUUAGUGACAGAGCAUGUGCUUUGCAUGCAGAAGGUCCCAGGUUCAAUCCUUGGGAUCUGCA